rnacentral:rRNA from 1 species
AUGUGCUUUGUAAACCGAUACUUGCAGGACUUGGAAAUUGCCACCACAAGGACAUCGACGAGACAGCCACAUGCUGCGAAGCCAAGAACUCAAACAUGGAUCCCACCCGGGGGAAACGCGGCGAAAAUUAAUGCUGAUGGUGCUAUUUCCUGCGAGGGUACGACGGGAGCUGCAGCCGCUGUUUGCAGGGAUCAACAUGGCAAUUACCUUGGAGCAUCUGCGGUGGUAUUUGAUGGGUUGGUUGACGCUCCAUGCCUGGAAGCUCAAGCAUGCAAUGAGGCUCUUGCCCUAGCGCAAGACUUGAUUCUGACACAUGCAAUAAUAGCGUUUGAUUGCAUCCAGGUUAUACAAGACAUCAACGGAGCUUCGAGUUCUUCUUCUUAUGCUUUAGUUUUGAAUGAAAUUAGAGAUAGAGCUACAGAUUUUGUUAGCAUUACUUUUCGGUUUGAGAACAGGGAGGCAAACUUUGAAGCACAUGCCUUGGCAAAGGCGGCUUCGUCACUCCCUGCUGGGCGCCACCUGUGGCUAGGGAACUCACCAGACAUUAUUUGUAUUCCUUCUGUGAUUGUUGAAUAA